rnacentral:rRNA from 1 species
GACAGAGGUGCCGAGCGUUAGGCGGAAUCACUGGGCUUAAAGCGUGUGUAGGCGGGUCGUUAAGUGUCUUGUGAAAUCCCCCGGCUCAACCGGGGAAUGGCUCGGGCAUGACUGGCGAUCUUGAGCAGUCUAGGGGCAGAUGGAACAAGUGGUGGAGGCGGUGAAAUGCGUAGAUAUCACUUGGAACGCCAACGGUGAAGACAGUCUGCUGGGGACUUGCUGACGCUGAGACACGAAAGCCAGGGGAGCGAACGGG